UUCCAGACUCCUACGGGAGGCAGCAGUGGGGAAUAUUGCACAAUGGGGGAAACCCUGAUGCAGCGACGCCGCGUGAGUGAAGAAGUAUUUCGGUAUGUAAAGCUCUAUCAGCAGGGAAGAAAAUGACGGUACCUGAUUAAGAAGCCCCGGCUAACUACGUGCCAGCAGCCGCGGUAAUACGGAGGAUGCGAGCGUUAUCCGGAUUUAUUGGGUUUAAAGGGUGCGCAGGCGGCCUGUUAAGUCAGCGGUAAAGGCCCGGGGCUCACCCCCGGCGAGCCGUUGAAACUGGCGGGCUGGAGUUGGAGAGAAGUACGCGGAAUGCGCGGUGUAGCGGUGAAAUGCUUAGAUAUCGCGCAGAACCCCGAUUGCGAAGGCAGCGUACCGGCUCCACACUGACGCUGAGGCACGAAAGCGUGGGUAUCGAACAGGAUUAGAUACCCUAGUACGA
rnacentral:rRNA from 1 species